GCGCUCACUUUGGCAGCACAUGUACUAAAAUUGGAACAAUACAGAGAAGAUUAAUGUGGCCCUGAGCAAGAAUGACAUGCAGAUUCGUGAAGCAUUCCAUUUUUUU
rnacentral:snRNA from 1 species